GAUGAACGCUAGCGGCAGGCUUAAUACAUGCAAGUCGAGGGGCAGCAGGUCCCGCAGCAAUGCGGGAUGCUGGCGACCGGCAAACGGGUGCGGAACACGUACAGAACCUUCCUUUAAGUGGGGAAUAGCCCGGGGAAACCCGGAUUAAUACCCCGUAACAUAAUGAAGUGGCAUCACUUUAUUAUUAUAGUAGCAAUGUGCUUGAAGAUGGCUGUGCUGCUGAUUAGGUAGUUGGUGGGGUAACGGCCCACCAAGCCUACGAUCAGUAACUGGUGUGAGAGCACGAACAGUCACACGAGCACUGAGACACGGGCCCGACUCCUACGGGAGGCAGCAGUAAGGAAUAUUGGGCAAUGGACGCAAGUCUGACCCAGCCAUGCCGCGUGGAGGAUGAAGGUCCUCUGGAUUGUAAACUUCUUUUAUCUGGGAAGAAAUCUAUUUUUUCUAAAGUAGUUGACGGUACCAGAUGAAUAAGCACCGGCUAACUCCGUGCCAGCCGCCGCGGUAA
rnacentral:rRNA from 1 species